AUAUAUCUCUGGUUAGACUUAUCUCUGAGUAUUUUAUAUUUGUGAUGCUAUUGUACAUUAAAUAAUUUUUAAAUUUUUAAUUAACAAUUUGUGUUAUGAUUUAGAUAUCUAUCCCUCAAAAGCUCAUGUGUGAGACAAGGCAAGAAGGCUUAGAGGUGAAAAGAUUGUGUUAUGAGAGACUUAACCCAGCUGAUGAAUUAAUCCCCUGAUAGGGAUUAACUGAGUGGUAACUGUAGGCUGGUAGGGUAUGGCUGGAGGAGGUGGGUCCUUGGGGGGGGGUGUGCCUUUGAAGUAUAUAUUUUGUCUUUGAUGAGCUCUCUUUCUGCUUCUUGGUGUGAUGUCUUGAGCUCCUUCCUUCUACCACACUCUUCUGCCAUGAUGUUCUGCCUUACCUCAAGCCCUGAAGAAUGGAUGUCUGUGGAACUGAGACCUCUGAAACUGUAAGCCCCCAAAUAAACUUUUCCUCCUAUAAAUUUGUUUUUGUCAAGUCUCUUGGUCAUAGCAACAACAACAACAAAAGCUGAUUAAAACAAUCGCUUAUUACUAGCAUACAGAAAUUUAAUUGCAUUUUCUGUAUUGAUUUUACAUUCUGCAUCCUUGCCAAGCUUGCUUUUCAGUUUUAGGACUACUUAUGCAGAAAACAUUGAGAUUUUUAGAUAAUCAUGUUAUCUGUGGAUAAAGACAGCAUUACUUUUGUUUUCCAAAGAAAUUCUAUUUUAUUUAUUUUUCUUGCCUUAUUGCAUGGCCAGAACCUCUAGUUCAAUACUGAAAGAAGUGGUGAUAUUGAAUAUAGAAUUUUCAUGGAUGUCAUCAAGUUAAAGAAUUCUCCUAUUUCAAAUUUGUUGAGAGUCUUUAUCAAUAAUUGACACUGAUUGGUUUUGGAUUGUACUAAGUGCUUUUUGUGUGUGUAAUCUGGAAGCAAGUACCUUCUCUUGUAGGUGUCAGUGUAGCACAGUGCUUAUGAGUCUGAACUCUGGACCCUGACCCCUGAGCUCAAAUCCCUACUCUAGCAGUUAAUAGCCAGAGACUGUGAUGGGGUAUUUAAUUUCUCUGUACCCAGAUUUUCCCAUCUGUAAAAUGGAGCUAACAAUUCCAUAUACUUACUAUGAACAUUAAUUACCUUACAAUAAAUAAGAAGCUCAGGACUGUGCAAGGUGAUAUAAAUAUAAGGGUCCACAAAUCUUAAUACAGAGUCAUGAUAAUAAAAGUUUAUAUUUUCAAAAUCCCUCCCAGCCAGUCUUUUAUCUCAAAGGUUUUUGUGUUUUAUCUGAAAGGUCUUUGUAUACUAGUCAACUUUUAAUAAAUUUUAUGAUUAACACUCCAUACAAUAUGCAUAUAAUUUAAUUUAAUUUAAUUUGUAUCACUAGAGUCAUAUUAUUCAUUUGUUGUGCUCCUUUUUUGUCCUUCUUAAUAAAAACUUGCAACUCUCUCCAAAUUAACACAAUCUGACCUAUCACAGUCUUUUUAAUUAUUUGCAUAAUGUUUUCUAAAGUCUGAUUAUAUUCCCUACUGAAAACCAUUCAGACUACUUGCAGUUUUUUUGCUAUGCUAAACAAUGCUAUGAUGUAUUGGGUUCACAAUGCAUUAUGGGAGUAUCUUCUUAGGGUAAAUUCUGAGUGUGGAAAUGCUGUGUGAGCCAUUUCUUUUAGUGGGAGAGUGAGGACUUCAAGCUAGAGAAAGUCAUCAAGAAAGGGAAGGUGGCAUGACAAAGAUAUUGAGCAGUCCUUUGAUAUCUGAAGGAGGUUGGUUCCAGGAACCCUGAAGAUACCAAACCUCAAAAGUUCAAGUCCAUUAUAUAAAAUGGCAUAAUAUUUUCAUAUAUUCCACACAAUCUUCCCACUUAUUUGUUUAUUCAUUCAUUUAUUCAUUCAUUGGCAGUACUGGGGAUUAAACCCAGGACAUCAUGAAUGCUAGCCAAGCACUACACCACUGAGCUAUACCCAACAGCCCUCCAUCUAUUUUAAAUAACCUCUAGAUGACUUAAGAUAUCUAACACAAUGUAAAUGCUAUGUUAUAAUGUCUUAGGGAACAAUGGUAAAGAAAACAUCUAUAUGUGUUUAAUGCAGACAGAAUGGGUUUGUUAAAAUAAUAUUUUCUAUCCAAGAUUCAUUUGAUCCACAAAUAAUACAGAAGCUGUGGAUACCAGGGCCAUCUGCAUGUUGCAUAAUGCACAGUGUUCCUGUGGGCUCACAGGCUCCUAAUUCUUUGUGCUCCUUAUAUCUAAGUUAUUGCUUCAGGCAAAAAUUCUCUCAAAAGUGUACCAUUUAAAUAACCAACAUCCUUUCAGUGCCCAGUGAUUCCACCAUUCAGUAUGACUUGGUGGACACGUCUGAGCUCUGCAGUCGGAUGGACCAGGUUUUGUGACCUUGAACAGGUAUCUUUUAAUUGCCUCAGAUUCUUCAGAUGUAAAAAGGAAACAGUGACAUUCCAUUAAAGGGGAUUGUCAUGAAAAGGGAUCCUGGGUCAAUGCCUAACAGCCUGGCCCGAGCUGGAUACUAAGUCGUGACAGUUCAGUUCCCCCUUCUGGGGAAAUGAUUCUCUAAAAUCUACUCUCUCAGAAGCAAGUCUACAGAAAUCCAAACACUUCAGCUUUCCUCCACCCAGCUCUUUAAAAGUCUGCAUCAGGACUUUGCCUCCCUUAUUUGUAUCCAGUUUGCACAGUCAUCAUCAGUUAACUCCCUUCUGCAAUCCAAAAUGACAGGAGAGAGAAGACAAUAGACUGGGGGUUUUGCAGAUUAAUAAUACAGCUCCCUAUGCUUUUGUUUCAGAGGGUUCACUGUACUCAGCACCGCUCUUAGAAUCAUGAGCCCCUAGACGUCAGCCUCAUUCAGGAGAAAGCUCAGGGUCAGAUCAAAGGCUGCCAGGAUCAAAGAGGGUUGCUUAUGGCACAUUGUCCCACUCAAAAAAAUGUUUCAAAUGGAGGAGGGGCAGAGCCUGGCUUUGGAUGGUUGGAAGUGCCCUGAUGUGUACACUUGAUUUUGUUAUGCUCGAAUUCGGGACCCCCAAAAGACCACCAGAGACCAACAUCGAUGUAAACAGCAAAGAGGUGUUAAUUGCGAGCUAGCUUGGUCCUCCACACGCACACAGCAACUGGUGACGCCGAGAGGCCCCAAGCCCAGGGUUUGCAGCAGUCUUAUACAUUCUUUGGAGAAGGCAGGGACCCCCACAUACAUCAUAGCAUCUCUUAGCAAAUCAUCACACACCGCGGGAAAAUCAAAUAACAACUCUAAAACAUGAUUAGCACAUUCACUGGUGGGAACAAGUUGGGUAGGGGUGAUUGGUUACUACAAGAGGGGUAUUCCUUUGAACUGAUUGAUUUAAGCCAAGAGGGGUGUACAUGCUGAACUACAGGGUUUCUCAACACCAUAAACUACUGGGAGGGUCAUCUGGCAUCCCAGGUAUUUCCCUGUCUCAUGCUGAUUGGUGGCUGCUAGGGGGUUACUAUGGGUCCCCACCUAGCCUGACUGAGUCAGGGACACCUGGCGCAGCAGAUCUCUCCUGUUAUUUGUAGAUAAACAACUCAGCAGGGUGGGAAUGUGCCUAGAAGUGCUCUUUGGGUCUUUCUAAGGACAAGGGUCAUGUCCCUUCCUUGGACAGGCUUUGCUCUGAGGUAGAGGCUGGUUUUUCAAUUUCUCAGCAAGCUCAGGUCAGGGAGAAGAUAUAGUCUCAGUGAAGGUUGUCAGCCCCAUCUCUCUCCUCUAGCACAAACCUAACUGACAGUGUAGGUUCUGUAUUAAAGUGUGCAAUUCUUGGAAAGUUGAAUCCCAGGGUGAGUAGUAGCUGUUAAAACUUAGAGGCUGAGGUCAAGGACCUUGGAGAAUGAAUCUCAGGUGCACUUGGUUAUAAAAUUCCUUAGAGUCUUCAGGGGAUCACGGAAGCUUUCUGAAUGGUCACUCUUUGCAACUCCAUCUAACAGAGUUAAUAAGGGAGCAAAAAGGCCUUUGGCCUGUCCUUUCCUCCUCUCCUCCCUUCUCUAUAAGGGACACAAUUCUGGAUGCUGCUGGAAUUCAGCCUGGGAGCUGCUCCUCAGCAUCGGGAUGUUUCUCAAUCCUUUCUUCAGUUUUUCAGUUCUGCUUGAACUGGGGUUAAAGAGACAGCAACGUGUGGUUCCCACUCUUGGAGAGCUCACAGUUUAGGGAAGAGCCUUGGAGAUACAAGUGCUGCAGGGUGCUUUGAGAUGUGGGAGGGUCUCUGUGCAGAAUACACAUUGAAGAGAAAGGGGACAAACCUGGGGACCAAUUCUACUUGGCGGUAGGCUUCAUGGAAGAUACCGUUAGGCUGAGAGAUGGGCAUCCACCUGAUGAGAUGCAGGAAUGGGAAAGUGUGUUCAGGCUGAAGGGACAGCCACAUGGCAAACUGUGUUAAUUCAGGAAAGUCAGAGAAAUGUCAGUUGGAUGGAGGAAAAGGCAGCAAAUAUGUAAGGCUGGGGAGCUUGCACAGAGGCCCUAAUUUGCUCAUGUAAGGAACUCAGACCCUUUUAUUCUCCAAAAAUCAAAAUACCUGGGCCUCCUAGGGUAUUUGUUUUUGUUGUUUUGCAAAUGAAACUCAUGAUCUCCUGCAUGCUGGGCAAGUGCUCUACCACUGAGCUAGACCCCAAGCCUACUGAUGGCAAGUCUUCUCUCUGUAGCAGUCUGCAAGCCACAGGAAUGGAUAAUCUGGCUGAUUUAAGCUGAGAAUGAAAUUACUAGAGAACCAUUGGGAAUGCACAGAAUUUCUAGAAAGUCUGCUAAAAUAGGCCUGGGAAAAGGACAGGGACAGGAUGCAGGGCACAGUCAAAAGCAUGUCACAAAGCUGUUCUGUGAGAACCCAGCUGCUGCUGCUGCCUAUGCCCAGGGGUGGUGGGGGAAGGGCCCUUGGCCUUGUCCAGCUGCUUUCUCUUCCUGGGUGUGCAGUGUCAUCUGCUUCUCCUUUAAAGGAACGUGGUGGGUGUUUUUGGUGGCCACACGCCAUGUGUGCUAUCCUUCAGGAAAAGGAGGGCAGUGAAACACCAUGUCCUGGAAAUGUACUUUUCCAUCUCCAAGAACCUAGCCAAGGGAAUAAGGAGGGUGGGCCUGGCCAGAAUGUCCCCAUAAGUACUGUCUUGGAGGAUGCUGACUGUCUUCCAGGCCCGUCUGAAAUGUAGGGCAAGUUAGUGUUAUCUGCAGGGAACCACUUUGUUGCAUGCCCAUUAAGUCCCUUGGAAUGCUGAUCAAAUAAUGGAACAACUAAGCUAAUGAUGUCACUGCUUCUGUAGACUUAACUCAUCAAACCCCUCUCCCUGCUGUAACUGGUGUGGAACAAGCAUUGUGGAGAGGAAAAGAAGUGUCUGUCCCUCCAGCCACAACUGGACUUUGUGGAGUAGCAACAUAAAGAAAAGAGGUGCUCCUUGUCCAGUCUGUCACCACUGAACCAUACCCGGAAGUUUUCAGCCAACCUUCCAUCUGCACCCUCUUUGGGUAUUUUCUUUGGCCUCUCAGCAACACACACCACUAUCCUAACACAACCAGGAAACACAAGCCUCAGGUGCAAGUGAGGCUGGGAACUCUUCAUUCCCUUUAGCAGAUAUGAUUUCUCCCUCCAUUCACCCUCAAAAAAUAAGACAGCCCCCAAACAAGGAAAGGGGGUUUGAAUGUAGGUGAGGCAUUACUAAACAAGCAGGAAAAUGCCUUAGCCAUGGCCUCUAGAAUGUUCUUGACUUGACACCAAACCUUGAGCUCCAAAAGAAAAGGGGGCUGCUUCUGAGCCCUUUCUUGGGGCUCUUUGAAAGGGAGGUGACCUACUCAUUGCCAGCUUGUGGCUGUUUUAAAAGUGUGUUGGUUACUAUUACACUAUGACAGAAUUUCUUCCUUUCAAACAUGGGUGAAAUUGGGAACUGCCAUAAAGGGAUCAGUCAUUAUUGGAUUGAAACUGAGAGGUGAAUUGACAUUCAUUCUGGAAACGGUGAGCCUCUCCUUUCCCUGGCUUGAGAGGGGUCUGGUAAAGUCCCUUGACUGAUGGCUGGUGAAGGGGGGUGCCUUACCCAAAGCCACGGCAAGUCCAGAAUCAAUGGGCACACAGACUCGAGAGAUAAGCAGAAAGAGGGCAGGAAGAAGGCUCUGGAAGCCCCUGGUGCAGAGCUAGGGGACUUUGGAUUCUUUAUCUAUAAACAAUAGAAAUCAAAUCUAAACAACUUAACAGAAGGAAAUUAGCAGGUUCUCGGAAGGGGAAAUGGAUGCUGGACAGCUCCCAGUCUGUUCAUGUUGGCGCUAGUCACCCUGAGCAACUGUGUAGCAAAGCUUUGAUAACAUUCUAAAUGGCUAGGGCUCCUCUCCAAUCCCGUCUGAGGUUAGCUCAGGUCUAACAAGUCAAGUGAGCACUGAUCUCACCCUCCUGAUUGUAGCCUGAGGAUACCCGCUUUUUCCCAGGAGCCACCUGUGCCCCUGCUGUGCCCAGCAUGGAGACUGGGAGACCCGGAGCAACUGAUCUAUCUCCUUAUCUGUUCAUCAUAUCAAACUGCCACUCACCACCCCCCUCUCUCUCUUGGCCUCUUAGGUACCCCCUGGAACUCCACAAGAUUGCAUGAGAACCUUUCUUCAGCCUGCAUUUCCAGUACGAAUGACCAUUCUCCUCUCAAUGCCAGAGGCUCCCAGCUGGCAGAGACCAGAAACGAAAUUUAGAAGAAGAGAAACCUAAGCAAGUGUCCCAGCCCCGGGUCCUCUUUCACAAGCACUCAGUUCCCUUUUUAGGUCAGAUCACUCCAUUCAUCCUGGGUCUCCCAGGGAGUCAUAUGACACUGAGCAGCUAGUAAACUGAACUCUGCUUUUCCCCAAGGGAGUGUCCCUCUGAACCCAAGCUUCUUGGGGACAAUGGGCAGGGACAGGCUCAAGGGUGGAGAAAAGGGGAAGAUAGAUGUCCAUUUCCACAUUUGCUGGGUUCAAAGUCUUGUUACUCAUCAAGGGAUGGGAAUAGCCCAUUUUGGUCAAUAUCACAUUUUUUUAUCCUAGUAAAAUAUAUAUAACAUUUACAAUUUUAACAAUUUCUAAGUGCACAUAGCAUGUCAUGUUUUCAAUUUCAAUUCACCCCUAAGCAUUUUCUAACUUACCUUGUGUGUGUGUGUGUGUGUGUGUGUGUGUUUUCUUUGACACUCUGGUUGUUUAAGACUGUGUUAUUUAAUUUCCCUGUAUUUGUGAAUUUUCCAUUUUUCUUUCUGUUGUUGAUGUCUGACUGCCUCUUACUUCUCAGAGAAGAUACUUUGCAUGACAUUUACCUUUGAAAAAUCUAUCCAGACUGAGUUUGCGGCCUGACAUGUGCUGUGUCCUGGUGAACGUGCCUCAUGUACUUCAGAACACAGAAUGCACAUUCUAUCAUUGGGUGGAGUUUCUGGAUGUGCCUGUCAAGUCUAGUGGGUUUGUUGUGUUGUUCAAGUCCUCAAUUUCCUCAUUUAUCCUCUGUCCACCUGAUCUAUCUGCUACUGAAAGUAGACUAUUAAAGUGCCUGUUUCUAUAAGAUAACAAAUAACCCAAUCAACAAAUGGGCCAAGGACCUGAACAGACACUUCUCAGAGGAGGACAUACAAU
rnacentral:lncRNA from 1 species